rnacentral:ncRNA from 1 species
UGACCUCGGAUAGACGUGAUUACCCGCUGAAUUUAAGCAUAUUAUUUAAGCGCGGAGGAAAGAAACUAACAAGGAUUCCCUUAGUAAGGCAAGAGUGAAACGGCUGGAAGAGCCCAACACCCGAAUCCCUUUGGCGCAGUCAACGGGAAAUGUUGGGUGUAAGGUAAGCCCUUCGUGUCAGUCUAGAGCGUCUCAAGUCCACCUUUUUGUGGCUCAAGCCCAGAGAGGGUGUAAGGCCCGUAGAGACGCUCCGACUGAUUCCUGGGGUUUUUACCUACGAGUUCGGCUUGUUUGGGAAUGCAGGCCAAAGCGGUGGUAAACUCCAUCAAGGCUAAUACUGGCACGAGUCCGAUAGCGGACAAGUACGGUGAGGGAAGUUGAAAAGAACUUUGAAGAGAGAGUUCAAUAGUACGUGAAACCGCUUAGAGGCAAACGGAUGGUGGCUCAUACUGGCCUGAGGAAUUCAACUGAUGACGGUGGCUGGACGAGCUGUGCGUUCCGAUCUCUCUUUUGGGACGGGCGUCGGUUUGGCUAUCAGCUCUGACAUUGGUUGCCACUUUCCUUGGUGCCUCCGCCACGACCGACGACACUGGCCUCCCGCGUCUGGGGUAAGGUGACAAACUGCUUCGGCAAUUUUGUGUUAUAGACCCGGCGUCGGACAUGGUUUUGGCCAGGACGUCGAGCUUGCGCGCCGCCCGCUCUUUGUGGGCUCGCAUGUGUUGGCUAGCUUGGCCUGGCGCCGAUGCUUGCACUUGGACAACCAGUACAGGUGACGGUUGUUGGUCUUGUCUCUAGUUGGCCUCUGCGAGUUUGGCGCCUAUAGUCUGUGGUUGUACUUGGUGGGUAAGACUAUCCGACCCGUCUUGAAAACAGUCGGAGUCCAAGGAGUUCGCUAGUCAUGGGGGGAUGCGCGAGUUCAUGGGGAUUUACGAAACCCAAAGGCGCAGUGGAAAGUAAAGGCUUGCUUCUCGGUAGGCUGAAGGGUUCGGGAUUCGGUGAGUCGGAUCUGGCGAGCCGCACCAACCGGCCCGUCCUAUCUGUCUCUGUCAGUGGGGCUGGCGCAAGAGCGUACACGUUGGGACCCGAAGAUGGUGAAACUAUGCUUGCGCAAGCUCGAAGUCAGUGGAAACACUGAUGGAGGAGCGCAGCGUUUCUGACGUGCAAAAUCGAUCGUCAAACGUGAGUUAUAGGGGCGAAAGACUAAUCGAAAAAACCAUCUAGUAGCUGGUUCCCUCCGAAGUUUCCCUCAGGAUAGCUGCGCUCGGGAAACAGUUUUAUCCGGUAAAGCGAAUGAUUAGAGGCAUUGGGCGUCGAAACGACCUCGACCUAUUCUCAAACUUUAAAUGGGUAAGAUGCUCGUCUCGCUUAAUUGGAGGCGGGCUUCACCUUCUCUCUUAAACUGGAAUGUGAGUGCCCAGUGGGCCAUUUUUGGUAAGCAGAACUGGCGCUGUGGGAUGAACCAAACGCGCGGUUUAGGCCCCAAUUGCGGACGCUCAUGAGACACCACAAAAAGCGCUGUUGGUCGAUACUGACCAGCAGGACGGUGGCCAUGGAAGUCGGAACCCGCUAAGGAGUGUGUAACAACUCACCUGCCGAAUCAACCAGCCCUGAAAUGGAUGGCGUGGAGCGGUCGGGCCUAUACCGUGCCGUUGGGGCGAAGCAGAGCAAAUUAAAUCUGUGCUGGAUGUCCCAACGAGUAGGAGGGUCGCGCCGUGGGUGAGCGCAGAAGGUGCGGCCGUGAGGCGGCUGGAGCCGCACGGGCGCAGAUCUUGGUGGGUAGCUAGCAAUUACUCAAGUGAGAACCUUGAGGACUGAAGUGGAGAAGGGGUUCCAUGUGAACCAGGCAGUAUUGAACAUGGCGUUCAGGCGGUCCUAAGCGAUCGCGGGUAACUCCGUACCUUUAGACGAGGGUGACAACUAUCACUUGAACUAAUGUUGAACGUGUUAUAGCCCUCCGAUGCGAAAGGGAAUCGUGUUAAAUAUUCACGACCCUUACCGUGGAGAUCGCCCUUUCGGGGUCGGGGCAAGUGCGGUAACGCAAACGAACACAGAGACGUCGGCUGGAGCCCCGGGAAGAGUUCUCUCUUUUCUUUGCUAGGAGCGUACCCCCUUGGAAUUCGGGCUUGUCCGGAGAUUAGGGGCGUGGCUUCCGUCUAAAGCAGCGCGGGGUUUGCGCUGUCCGGUGCACUCUAGUCGGCCCUUGAAAAUCUGUGGGAGACAGUGUUGAUUUUUCACGGUAGGCCGUACCCAUAUCCGCAGCAGGUCUCCAAGGUGAACAGCCUCUAGUCCUAGAACAAUGUAAGGUAAGGGAAUCCGGCAAAAUGGAAUUUUUUUUUUCCGUAACUUCGGGAAAGGAUUGGCUCUGAGGGCUGGUCGGAUUGGGCUGGCGUAAGAAGCUGUCCGGUUUUGGUGAGAGGACUGGGUGAGGCUUUCGGGCUUUACUCGGACCAUGCGAGACCAGCAGUAGACGACGUCAGCUGUGCUUGUCGUGUUUUCCGGCGCGGGCAGCUUCGUCCGGCAAACAAACAGCAACUCAGAACUGGCACGGGGGGGAACUAGGAAUCCGACUGUCUUAAUUAAAACAAAAGCAUUGGCGAUGGCUGUGUGCCUCGGUGUUGACGCAAUGUGAUUUCUGCCUGCAGUGCUGCUG